ensembl:snRNA U6 U6 spliceosomal RNA
GCGUUUUAGCAGCACAUAUGCUAAACUAGGAACAAUAUAGAGAUUAGCAUGGCUCUGUGCAAGGAAGAGACACAAAUCUGUGAAGUGCUCCACAUCUUG